AAAUUGAAGAGUUUGAUCAUGGCUCAGAUUGAACGCUGGCGGCAGGCCUAACACAUGCAAGUCGAACGGUAACAGGAAGCAGCUUGCUGUUUUGCUGACGAGUGGCGGACGGGUGAGUAAUGUCUGGGAAACUGCCUGAUGGAGGGGGAUAACUACUGGAAAUGGUAGCUAAUACCGCAUAACGUCGCAAGACCAAAGAGGGGGACCUUAGGGCCUCUUGCCAUCGGAUGUGCCCAGAUGGGAUUAGCUAGUAGGUGGGGUAACGGCUCACCUAGGCGACGAUCCCUAGCUGGUCUGAGAGGAUGACCAGCCACACUGGAACUGAGACACGGUCCAGACUCCUACGGGAGGCAGCAGUGGGGAAUAUUGCACAAUGGGCGCAAGCCUGAUGCAGCCAUGCCGCGUGUAUGAAGAAGGCCUUCGGGUUGUAAAGUACUUUCAGCGGGGAGGAAGGGAGUAAAGUUAAUACCUUUGCUCAUUGACGUUACCCGCAGAAGAAGCACCGGCUAACUCCGUGCCAGCAGCCGCGGUAAUACGGAGGGUGCAAGCGUUAAUCGGAAUUACUGGGCGUAAAGCGCACGCAGGCGGUUUGUUAAGUCAGAUGUGAAAUCCCCGGGCUCAACCUGGGAACUGCAUCUGAUACUGGCAAGCUUGAGUCUCGUAGAGGGGGGUAGAAUUCCAGGUGUAGCGGUGAAAUGCGUAGAGAUCUGGAGGAAUACCGGUGGCGAAGGCGGCCCCCUGGACGAAGACUGACGCUCAGGUGCGAAAGCGUGGGGAGCAAACAGGAUUAGAUACCCUGGUAGUCCACGCCGUAAACGAUGUCGACUUGGAGGUUGUGCCCUUGAGGCGUGGCUUCCGGAGCUAACGCGUUAAGUCGACCGCCUGGGGAGUACGGCCGCAAGGUUAAAACUCAAAUGAAUUGACGGGGGCCCGCACAAGCGGUGGAGCAUGUGGUUUAAUUCGAUGCAACGCGAAGAACCUUACCUGGUCUUGACAUCCACGGAAGUUUUCAGAGAUGAGAAUGUGCCUUCGGGAACCGUGAGACAGGUGCUGCAUGGCUGUCGUCAGCUCGUGUUGUGAAAUGUUGGGUUAAGUCCCGCAACGAGCGCAACCCUUAUCCUUUGUUGCCAGCGGUCCGGCCGGGAACUCAAAGGAGACUGCCAGUGAUAAACUGGAGGAAGGUGGGGAUGACGUCAAGUCAUCAUGGCCCUUACGACCAGGGCUACACACGUGCUACAAUGGCGCAUACAAAGAGAAGCGACCUCGCGAGAGCAAGCGGACCUCAUAAAGUGCGUCGUAGUCCGGAUUGGAGUCUGCAACUCGACUCCAUGAAGUCGGAAUCGCUAGUAAUCGUGGAUCAGAAUGCCACGGUGAAUACGUUCCCGGGCCUUGUACACACCGCCCGUCACACCAUGGGAGUGGGUUGCAAAAGAAGUAGGUAGCUUAACCUUCGGGAGGGCGCUUACCACUUUGUGAUUCAUGACUGGGGUGAAGUCGUAACAAGGUAACCGUAGGGGAACCUGCGGUUGGAUCACCUCCUUACCUUAAAGAAGC
rnacentral:rRNA from 1 species